rnacentral:misc_RNA from 1 species
GAUGAAGAACGUAGCGAAAUGCGAUAAGUAAUGUGAAUUGCAGAAUUCAGUGAAUCAUCGAAUAUUUGAACGCACAUUGCGCCCGCGAGUAUUCUCGCGGGCAUGCCUGUCCGAGCGUCAUUUCAACCCUCAGGGCCCGCCUGCUUCGGCAGGCGCGGCGCUGGUGUUGGGGAUCGGCCUAACCGCCGUCCCCCAAAUACAGUGGCGGUCUCGCUGCAGCCUCCCCUGCGUAGUAGCAACACUCGCAUGCGGAGCGCGGCGCGGCCACGCCGUAAAACCCCCGACUUUCUGAACGUUGACCUCGGAUCAGGUAGGAAUACCCGCUGAACUUAAGCAUAUCAAUAAGCGGAGGA